GACGAACGCUGGCGGCGUGCUUAACACAUGCAAGUCGAACGAAGUGGCGAACGGGUGAGUAACGCGUAAUCAACCUGCCCUUCAGAGGGGGACAACAGGUGGAAACGACUGCUAAUACCGCAUACUGAAGGGGGGGAUUGCGUCUGAUUAGCUGUUUGGAGGGGUAACGGCCCACCAAGGCGAUGAUCAGUAGCCGGUCUGAGAGGAUGAACGGCCACAUUGGGACUGGGACACGGCCCAGACUCCUACGGGAUGCAGCAGUGGGGAAUCUUCCGCAAUGGACGAAAGUCUGACGGAGCAACGCCGCGUGUAUGAAGAAGGCCCUAGGGUUGUAAAGCUCUGUUAAUCGGGACGCGGUACCGGAAUAGAAAGCCACGGCUAACUACGUGCCAGCAGCCGCGGUAAUUC
rnacentral:rRNA from 1 species